rnacentral:rRNA from 1 species
CCUACGGGUGGCAGCAGUGAGGAAUAUUGGUCAAUGGACGGAAGUCUGAACCAGCCAUGCCGCGUGCAGGAAGACGGCUCUAUGAGUUGUAAACUGCUUUUGUACAAGGGUAAACCUGAAUACGUGUAUUCAGCUGAAAGUACUGUACGAAUAAGGACCGGCUAACUCCGUGCCAGCAGCCGCGGUAAUACGGAGGAUCCAAGCGUUAUCCGGAUUUAUUGGGUUUAAAGGGUGCGUAGGCGGAUUGAUAAGUUAGUGGUGAAAUGUCCGAGCUUAACUCGGGAACUGCCUCUAAUACUGUUGGUCUAGAGAGUAGAUGCGGUAGGCGGAAUGUAUGGUGUAGCGGUGAAAUGCUUAGAGAUCAUACAGAACACCGAUUGCGAAGGCAGCUUACCAAUCUAUAUCUGACGUUGAGGCACGAAAGCGUGGGGAGCAAACAGGAUUAGAUACCCCGGUAGUC